rnacentral:rRNA from 1 species
GGAUUGUAGGCUGCAACUCGCCUACAUGAAGUUGGAAUCGCUAGUAAUCGCGAAUCAGAAUGUCGCGGUGAAUACGUUCCCGGGUCUUGUACACACCGCCCGUCACACCACGAGAGUUUACAACACCCGAAGUCAGUGGCCUAACCGCAAGGAGGGAGCUGCCUAAGGUGGGGUAGAUGAUUGGGGUGAAGUCGUAACAAGGUAGC